rnacentral:snRNA from 1 species
AUCGCUUCUCGGCCUUUUGGCUAAGAUCAAGUGUAAAAAGAAAGUUUUUUCCAGAAAAUGAGAUUUGAUAAUUUACUCUCUAAAUUUCUUUUACAAAUUCAAAUUUUGUAUAAGUGGAAAAUAAAAA